UUUUCUCAAAAAAAAAAAAGUUACUUAUUUUUAAUUGGAGUUUCUUUACAAUAUCGUGUUGAUUUCUGCCAUACAUCAGCGUGAAUCAGCCAUAGAUAAAUGUUUAUCUUAAGUGAGUCUUGCUCUUCCCUUGGGUGUCAGUCUUUCCCUUCCUGAACCUGGGAACAGGUCUCCAAAAGUCUACUUUAGAAUGGCAUCUGAGCCUUCACAUUUUCCUCCUAGUGCCCUUUGGUGUCAUCACUAGAGGGAAAAAGAGAAGGGCUAAACAAUGAAGCUGAAUUAAGGAGGAUCCUUGGUUUCCCAAUACCACCUCCUCCCAUAGCAAAAAAGGCUUUGGGGGAACAGGAAAUGAACUUGUUUGGGAAAGUGGCCUUGCUCCAGAGAGGCUGGGCUCUGCUCCCUUUUGAACACAUGGUGAUGCUGUGGUGGUAUUAGCCUUCCAAAGACAGUCUGCCCUUCACCCCUCCUGUUCAUCCUCACCAGGCUAGCGAGGGCAGGCCAGCCCAGAUCAAGGAGGGCGCCUACUGAAGGCCAGACUGCAGACGGGUAAUCCGGCUCACUUUGCUGCUGGGCUUCCCUGGCGGCUCAGAUAGUAAACGAUCUGUCUGCAGUGAGGGAGACCCGGGUUCAAUUCCUGGGUUGGAAAGAUCCCCUGGAGAAGGGAUUGGCAACCACUCCAGUGUUCUUGCCUGGAGAAUCCCAUGGACAGAGGAGCCUGGUGGCCUACAGUCCACAAGGUCACAAAGAGUCAUCUAACAAGCAAGCAGAGGCCCAGAGUGGCUGUUAUCCAGCAGCAGAGAUUGACUCUUUCUUUCAGCUAGACUGCCUCUAGACUCUCAUAGCCCAGAGUUCUCACUCCUUUCAUUCACCAGGGACAGGGAAGACACCCUUUCUGAGCCUCCCCAGCCAAGGCAGCCUGUAACCUAGGCCGGUGGUCUAGAGCCUGGAACCCUGCUGAGGUGAGCAGGGGUUGCCAUGGGUAAGAGAGAAACAUUGACCCAAAGGAUUAAAGAAGGGGAUUUUUGAAAGUGUCCACACCACCAAUUCUGUUCUUUGAAGCUGCAAAGGAAUUUCUGCUACUGCCACCUCUGAAUGAGGUUAAAAGAAAUGUCAUGGAAUCAGCUUACAGGUUCUACUUUGGUCUAAGAACUUCUGAGAGCCAAGUGGUUGAACCUGAUGAGGAAGACGGCCUGAGCCAGCUCUAAGGGACUCUGAGGUGAGAGAUCACUAUUAGUUUAUUUGACAAAUAUUACAAAGUACCUACCAGUCUGGGAGUUGUUCCAGAUGCUGGAGAUACAUUGGCGGCAAAGUAAUU
ensembl:lncRNA